UACGUAGGGGGCGAGCGUUGUCCGGAGUUACUGGGCGUAAAGCGCUUGUAGGCGGUCCACCAAGUUUGGGGUGACAGUUGCCGACUUAAUCGGCAAAGUGCCUCAAAGACUGGCGGACUUGAGGGCCACAGAGGGACAUGGAACUCCAGGUGUAGUGGUGAAAUGCGUAGAUAUCUGGAAGAACACCAAAGGCGAAGGCAGUGUCCUGGGUGGUCGCUGACGCUGAGAGGCGAAAGCCAGGGGAGCGAACUGG
rnacentral:rRNA from 1 species